CAGACUAAAGAAGCUAGAAAGAAAGUAAUUCUACAGAAAAAAAAUACCAUUUCAUUUACUAAUCUCUUUUUGCAUUUUCUUUUUAAUCUGUACAGAAGUUGAUGAAGCACUAAACCAGUGCUAUUCAGAUUUUGUGGAGCACUGCUGGCUUCCUGCUUGCAUCGGCCUCAGAACGACAAGAAGAGAAGGGGAACCUGGUAACCAGGAGCCAAGUCAGUUGUGAAUUUCCAGUUCUCAGCUCUUCAGUUCCAGACAAGCGUGAGAGACAAGAAAGCAAAGCAGAUCGUCUUCCUGAGAUUAUAUUGAGGUUAUUGUCAAAAAUAACCACCAAGUUCCUAAAUGUGAAUAUGUAUCCUGGGGAGAACAAAGCAAGUUUCAGAGC
rnacentral:lncRNA from 1 species